CCUACGGGAGGCAGCAGUGAGGAAUAUUGGUCAAUGGGCGAGAGCCUGAACCAGCCAAGUCGCGUGAGGGAGUACUGCCCUAUGGGUUGUAAACCUCUUUUGUCGGGGAGCAAAAGCCGGACGUGUCCGGCUGUGAGAGUACCCGAAGAAAAAGCAUCGGCUAACUCCGUGCCAGCAGCCGCGGUAAUAGGGAGGAUGCGAGCGUUAUCCGGAUUUAUGGGGUUUAAAGGGUGCGCAGGGGGAUUUUUAAGUCAGCGGUCAAAUCGUGGGGCUCAACCCCAUCCAGCCGUUGAAACUGGGGAUCUAGAGUGUGCGAGAGGUAUGCGGAAUGCGUGGUGUAGCGGUGAAAUGCAUAGAUAUCACGCAGAACCCCGAUUGCGAAGGCAGCAUACCGGUGCACAACUGACGCUCAGGCGCGAAAGCGUGGGUAUCGAACAGGAUUAGAUACCCCAGUAGUC
rnacentral:rRNA from 1 species